AGGGAACGCUGGCGGCAGGCCUAACACAUGCAGGUCGAACGGAUCCUUCGGGAUUAGUGGCGGACGGGUGAGUAACACGUGGGAACGUGCCCUUUGGUUCGGAACAACUCAGGGAAACUUGAGCUAAUACCGGAUGUGCCCUUCGGGGGAAAGAUUUAUCGCCAUUGGAGCGGCCCGCGUCUGAUUAGCUAGUUGGUGAGGUAAAGGCUCACCAAGGCGACGAUCAGUAGCUGGUCUGAGAGGAUGAUCAGCCACAUUGGGACUGAGACACGGCCCAAACUCCUACGGGAGGCAGCAGUGGGGAAUCUUGCGCAAUGGGCGAAAGCCUGACGCAGCCAUGCCGCGUGAAUGAUGAAGGUCUUAGGAUUGUAAAAUUCUUUCACCGGGGACGAUAAUGACGGUACCCGGAGAAGAAGCCCCGGCUAACUUCGUGCCAGCCGCCGCUGUAAGAC
rnacentral:rRNA from 1 species